AAUUAGACCAGAUUAUCCUAAAAUAAAAUUCUGUUGGCAUGUUAAGCUCCAAGCCUGUUUUAUCUUCCUUUCCAUUUAGCCCACAAUAUCUGAUUUUACCAAUAUGCUG